rnacentral:rRNA from 1 species
CCCUUAGAUGUUCUGGGCCGCACGCGCGCUACACUGAUGCAUUCAACGAGUCUAAAACCUGCUCUGAUAGGGGUGGGUAAUCUUUUGAAUGUGCAUCGUGAUUGGGAUAGAUGAUUGCAAUUUUUCAUCUUCAACGAGGAAUGCCUAGUAAACGCAAGUCAUCAACUUGCGUUGAUUACGUCCCUGCCCUUUGUACACACCGCCCGUCGCUACUACCGAUUGAAUGGUUUAGUGAGGCCUUCGGAUCCGCGACUCGUUUUGUGGAGAAGUUGGACAAACUCAGUCAUUUAGAGGAAGUAAAAGUCGUAACA